GGAUCUGGAAGCACAGCAAUGUGUGGAGGUGACCGGUACUAAUAGGCCGAGGGCUUGUCCAU
rnacentral:rRNA from 1 species